AAAACGCCAUAGAAUCUUGUCUUAUAGCUGUCCCUACCCCAAUCUCACUGUUGAGGAAGUACCUACAUACCCAUAUACCCCAUAAAUCUCUACAACUAUAUUCUUAUGCCUUCAACCCACUGGUAGACAAGCCUCCUCUAGCCCUGAAGACAAUUAAUGUGACAGGCGCUGAACUAUGUUGGUCUUUUUCAUGUAAUUGUUCAAGAGACCCUAAUACUGAAUCCCUGUUUUGCCCCACAUGGUAGAAAAAUACCAUGAAUUGUAGAGCCCUGAGCACCACUAUGAAUUGUACCAAAACUCACCAAGUUAUGAGUUACCACUACAAUGUCUAUCUUCCUAAAGGAUGGACUUUCUCCUGUGGAAAUAUUACUUAUGCUUAUGUCCCAGGUGACAUUACAGGAGGUCCCUGUGCAAUCUCUCACCUAACCAUGACCAUGUUUUCCAAAUCUGACCUGAUCACUAAAACCACCCAGCUACACAAACUGCUGAGAGACAGGAGAGAUGUUAAAAACACCCUUACUGCAGAUUUGACUUUAUUAAUUAAGAAAAUGUUGUACUUUUUGCUAUUAGCUGUAUUUGUCAUUAUGGCUAUUUUCCUAACCUUUAGAUUUUUUUUCAUGUCUACUAACCUCUCUAUGUAAAAGCAAACCUACUGUUGGUCGUACCUUAACUUACAUUCCAGCUCCGACUUCGAAAAGUUUUUAUGAUGUUACCUCGCCUAACAAAUGAAGGAACUCUCCUCCGCUGAUUCUGGUGGUCUCUCAGGCCAAGGGAACCGUGGUGAAGUAAUAAAUGAAAGUCCCACAGGCUUUGGCUAGCAGGCCUGGAUAUACCUUGGACAUUUGGGUGACCCUUGGAUCAAAAGAGGGGAUUGUGAUAGAGUUUAUCUUGAUUCCAAGGCUCAAGCUUAUAGGUGUCAUAUAAUGAUAUCCUAUAUUAAAAUUGGCUAACUUGGACUCAGAAAAUGCUUGAUGCUUAAACAACACUUAAGACCAUAUAUGUCUAAGUUCCGGGAGCAGAGAGCCCCCAGCUAAGAUUUCUCUGCUCUCAUUUUUUUGUUCUCUCUUACCUUGAAACUUAUUUGUUAU